UACGUAGGGGGCUAGCGUUGUCCGGAAUCAUUGGGCGUAAAGCGCGUGUAGGCGGUCCGGUAAGUCCGCUGUGAAAGUCGGGGGCUCAACCCUCGAAUGCCGGUGGAUACUGUCGGGCUAGAGUGCGGAAGAGGCGAGUGGAAUUCCUGGUGUAGCGGUGAAAUGCGCAGAUAUCGGGAGGAACACCAAUGGCGAAGGCAGCUCGCUGGGACGUUACUGACGCUGAGACGCGAAAGCGUGGGGAGCAAACGGG
rnacentral:rRNA from 1 species